rnacentral:ribozyme from 1 species
GUGUUUUUGUAGCAUUACCUAAUCCAGCCAUACCACAAUGACAGUCCUAAGCCUGUUAAAUGGAGAAGGGGUA